AUGAAUGAGAUAAACAAGAAGUUUGAUUACAAGAACCGUCUCGACAAGAAAGACUUGGUCAUGCUGCCAGUGCUCGAGUGCGCGGAUGUAACCGAUAAGGACGGAGGGAGGCAUUAUUGGGUCUUCAGUGUCAACUUGAGGGACGGACGCUUCGAAGUUCUUGAUUCAAGCAGGAUGCUGGACAACAUUGAGCUGAUGAACACCGCCUCCACCAUUGCGGGGGCAGUACGCCAGCUAUGGAGGAAGCAUUACCCAAAGUUCAGCAUCGAGCACUUCCAGAUUAUUGACAUUGAUGUACCGAAGCAGCUCGGCAAUAAUGAGUGUGGGUUGUUCGCACUGCUUAACGCCAUCGAGUGGAAUGGUAGCCAACUGCCCAACUACGACCCCAAGGAAGUACUCAACAUCAGGAAGAAGCUGGCAUAUGAUUGGGUCACCAGCAUGCACAACACCGCCCCAUGGAGGAAGUUGCUGAGAUACGACAAGGAGUAG
rnacentral:rRNA from 1 species